rnacentral:rRNA from 1 species
UACGAAGGGGGCUAGCGUUGUUCGGAAUUACUGGGCGUAAAGCGUGCGCAGGCGCUUCUCAAGUCAGGGGUGAAAGCCCAGAGCUCAACUCGGGGAACGGUGUGGAUACUACCGAUCUUGAGGCAAUCAGAGGAUGAUGGAAUUCCCGGUGUAGCGGUGAAAUGCGUAGAUAUCAGGAGGAACACCGAUGGCGAAGGCAGGUCUCUGGGCCACUACUGACGCUGAGAAGCGAAAGCAUGGGGAGCGAACAGG